rnacentral:rRNA from 1 species
UACAGAGGGUGCGAGCGUUAAUCGGAAUUACUGGGCGUAAAGCGCGCGUAGGCGGCUUUGCAAGUCGGGUGUGAAAUCCCCAGGCUCAACCUGGGAACUGCAUUCGAGACUGCAUUGCUAGAGUAUGGGAGAGGGAAGUGGAACUGCGAGUGUAGAGGUGAAAUUCGUAGAUAUUCGGAGGAACACCAGUGGCGAAGGCGGCUCACUGGUCCGGUACUGACGCUGAGGUGCGAAAGCGUGGGGAGCAAACAGG